rnacentral:rRNA from 1 species
UACGUAGGGUGCGAGCGUUGUCCGGAAUUACUGGGCGUAAAGAGCUCGUAGGUGGUUUGUCGCGUUGUUCGUGAAAACUCACAACUCAAUUGUGGGCGUGCGGGCGAUACGGGCAGACUGGAGUACUGCAGGGGAGACUGGAAUUCCUGGUGUAGCGGUGGAAUGCGCAGAUAUCAGGAGGAACACCGGUGGCGAAGGCGGGUCUCUGGGCAGUAACUGACGCUGAGGCGCGAAAGCUCGGGGAGCGAACGGG